AUACGGAGGAUGCAAGCGUUAUCCGGAUUUAUUGGGUUUAAAGGGUGCGUAGGCGGUUUGCUAAGCGGGAGGUGAAAUGCCGGCGCUCAACGUCGGAAGUGCCUCCCGAACUGGUGGACUGGAAUGACUCUGCCGUGGGAGGAAUGUGUAGUGUAGCGGUGAAAUGCUUAGAGAUUACACAGAGCACCGAUUGCGAAGGCAUCUCACGAAGGGUUGAUUGACGCUGAGGCACGAAAGCGGGGGGAUCAAACAGGAUUAGAUACCCUGGUAGUCCACGCAGUAAACGAUGAUGGCUAACCGCUGGUUUAUUCGGAUCAGUGGCCAAGCGAAAGCGAUAAGCCAUCCACCUGGGGAGUACGACCGCAAGGUUGAAACUCAAAUGAAUUUACGGGG
rnacentral:rRNA from 1 species